rnacentral:rRNA from 1 species
GACGAACGCUGGCGGCGUGCUUAACACAUGCAAGUCGAACGUGAUUUUUGUGGAAAUUCUUUCGGGAAUGGAAAUGAAAUGAAAGUGGCGAACGGGUGAGUAACACAUGAGCAACCUACCUUACACAGGGGGAUAGCCGUUGGAAACGACGAUUAAUACCGCAUGAGACCACAGAAUCGCAUGAUAUAGGGGUCAAAGAUUUAUCGGUGUAAGAAGGGCUCGCGUCUGAUUAGCUAGUUGGAAGGGUAAAGGCCUACCAAGGCGACGAUCAGUAGCCGGUCUGAGAGGAUGAACGGCCACAUUGGAACUGAGACACGGUCCAAACUCCUACGGGAGGCAGCAGUGGGGAAUAUUGCACAAUGGGGGGAACCCUGAUGCAGCGACGCCGCGUGAGCGAAGAAGGUUUUCGAAUCGUAAAGCUCUGUCCUAUGAGAAGAUAAUGACGGUAUCAUAGGAGGAAGCCCCGGCUAAAUACGUG